rnacentral:rRNA from 1 species
AGUGGCGGACGGGUGAGUAACGCGUGAGAAUCUGCCUUGGGGUCGGGGACAACCACUGGAAACGGUGGCUAAUACCGGAUAAGCCGAUUGGUGAAAGAUUUAUUGCCCGAAGAGGAGCUCGCGUCUGAUUAGCUAGUUGGUGAGGUAAGAGCUCACCAAGGCAGCGAUCAGUAGCUGGUCUGAGAGGACGAUCAGCCACACUGGGACUGAGACACGGCCCAGACUCCUACGGGAGGCAGCAGUGGGGAAUUUUCCGCAAUGGGCGAAAGCCUGACGGAGCAAGACCGCGUGAGGGAGGAAGGCUCUUGGGUUGUAAACCUCUUUUCUCAGGGAAGAAGAUCUGACGGUACCUGAGGAAUCAGCCUCGGCUAACUCCGUGCCAGCAGCCGCGGUAAUACGGAGGAGGCAAGCGUUAUCCGGAAUUAUUGGGCGUAAAGCGUCCGCAGGUGGCGAUCCAAGUCUGCUGUCAAAGCACGGGGCUUAACUCCGUAAAGGCAGUGGAAACUGAAUAGCUAGAGUGCCGUAGGGGUAGAGGGAAUUCCCGGUGUAGCGGUGAAAUGCGUAGAGAUCGGGAAGAACAUCGGUGGCGAAAGCGCUCUACUGGACGGCAACUGACACUCAGGGACGAAAGCUAGGGGAGCGAAUGGGAUUAGAUACCCC